ACGAGACGAUUAGAAGCCGACCCAUUACAUUGUUCACAAUGGCGUAGAUAAUUAUCACACCAAAUGCUAGACAACAAGGGCCCCGCUAAUACAUUUAAGGAGAGCAGACUUCUGAGCAGCCUGCAACAACUCCCAAAAUCCAAGCCUAUUCAACAAAAAGCUGAAAAGGUUGAGAAUUUCAUGACACUCAAACAGGCAUGCUCCUCGGAAUACCAAGGAGUGCAAGGUGCGUUCAAAGAUUCGAUGAUUCACUGAAUUCUGCAAUUCACAUUACUUAUCGCAUUUCGCUGCGUUCUUCAUCAAUGCGAGAGCCAAGAGAUCCAUUGUUGAAAGUUGUAUAAGGUUUACUGGCAAUUAAGCCAACCAAAUAACAUUCCAUGACAUACUGAGUGUAUAAUAAAAUGCAUAGGCUGGAAAAAUACAAGGAAAGCCUGGCUUUUGCAGCACGGCAGUCCUCAAACCGAGCUUCCUUG
rnacentral:misc_RNA from 1 species